rnacentral:rRNA from 1 species
UACGUAGGGUGCAAGCGUUGUCCGGAAUUAUUGGGCGUAAAGAGCUCGUAGGCGGUUUGUCGCGUCUGCUGUGAAAACCUAAGGCUCAACCUUGGGCUUGCAGUGGGUACGGGCAGACUAGAGUGCGGUAGGGGUGACUGGAAUUCCUGGUGUAGCGGUGGAAUGCGCAGAUAUCAGGAGGAACACCGAUGGCGAAGGCAGGUCUCUGGGCCAUUACUGACACUGAGAAGCGAAAGCAUGGGGAGCGAACAGG